rnacentral:rRNA from 1 species
GACGAACGCUGGCGGCGUGCUUAACACAUGCAAGUCGAACGGAAAGGCCCUGCUUGCAGGGUGCUCGAGUGGCGAACGGGUGAGUAACACGUGGGUGAUCUGCCCCUUACUUUGGGAUAAGCCUGGGAAACUGGGUCUAAUACUGGAUAGGACCAUGCUGUAGGUGGUGUGGUGGAAAGAUUAGUUUCGGUAAGGGAUGAGCUCGCGGCCUAUCAGCUUGUUGGUGGGGUAAUGGCCUACCAAGGCGUCGACGGGUAGCCGGCCUGAGAGGGUGGACGGCCACAUUGGGACUGAGAUACGGCCCAGACUCCUACGGGAGGCAGCAGUGGGGAAUAUUGCACAAUGGGCGCAAGCCUGAUGCAGCGACGCCGCGUGGGGGAUGACGGCCUUCGGGUUGUAAACUCUUUUCAGCCAUGACGAAGCCCUUGUGGUGACGGUAGUGGUAGAAGAAGCACCGGCUAACUACGUG